rnacentral:lncRNA from 1 species
GCUUGCAGGAGCCCCAGGGCUUUUAAAAGCGGGGCACGCCACUGCUCUUUCAACGGAGGAGGGAGGCAGAGGGCUCACGGAUCAAUGAACUUUCAGCUGACACCACGCUUUGAGGGCCAUGGGAUCAUUCUGUGCUGCAGCGAGGACCUGCCUGCCUCACCAGAUGUGCUGAGCCCAUCCUUUCUAAUCCAGAGGGGUCCAAACUAGGAUCUGAAGAGGAGUCCUGAGAACCCAGCAGGUGCCCUGAAGAUCCCCCUCCAUCGGUGGAAGUCGGCUCAAGGAGGUCCUGAAGACUGGACUCCUGGGGGUUUGGCCCGGGGACAGGAUACUCAAGGACUCCUCUCCCACCCCGCCCCAAACUGGACCUCAGCCCCCACGCCACAGCCCCCACUUUCUCCCCAGAGCUGAGGGACAGAGAAUUGCGACUAGAAAUUCGAUCGAUUGCUACGAGGGACCACGUGGCCAGGGGCUGGCCAAUGACCAGGCCGCCCAGGAUGAGUAAUAAUGGAAGCAAUUUGUAACUUUCAGUAACUCUCUAGGCCUGGGUACCGGAGGGAGGGAGGCGGGCAAAGGAAGGGAGAUGGGCACCCCCAGUCUUUCCAUCCUCCUCAUUCGUCUAGGUGCACCCGAAUCCCCUAUUCCUUAUUUCCCGUAUCACUCAGGCACUGGCAGCGUCCUUUGCCCACUCCUGUUGGCCGCGGCGGCUCCAAAGCGAGGUAAGCUGGUCCUCUACCCCUCAAACUCUUCACAACCUUCACCCCGUUUACUAGCACCUGCAAACCACAGCCUCCCUUCCUGUCCCAUUAGUGAAUUUAAAUCGGAUUUUGUUUUUCCUCUUAGUUGAAAGAAAAAAAUCUUUUUGUAUUCUUUUGUGUAACCUAUCUCGGAUUUGGAGAAAAUUUUAAUUCAAAUUAAUACACUUAUAUUGGGGGGGGUGAGUGGUACUUUCCUCCUUUUCAAUAAAUUUCUAUACUUGCUACUUUAUGGAGAGUUUACUUUUCUUUGGGGAUGAGUUACACCUUAUGUUUUCACAUGUGUUACUUCUUUAAUGAUAAGUGCAACUCCUUUCUCCAUUCCAUCCUCCAAUUUUGCUAUUUAUAAAUAUCACCUAAUGGAUUUAGAGUUUAUUCAUUUUUCUCCUCCCUCACUAGUUUUUCAGCUGUUACCGAAUCACCACAAUUUAUUUUUCUCUGUAUGUGGAUGAGGUUUUGUGUUGAUUCCUCUUUUUGUUUUGUAAAUGAAUUUAUUGUUUGGGAAACUCUUGGGGUGGUGUGUGUAAAAAAGGUCUUUUGAUUAAUUCCAACCUCUCCUCUUCUGAAGAACAAUUUGCUUGAAAUUUUUGUGUAUUUUCCUCAUUUUUAUUAUGUUUAAAUUUGAGGUAUUUUACCUUCUUUAAAACCUGACCUCUUUUUAAAAUUUAACCUUUUGCAUGUUAAACCAUUUUUAAGGUUUUUAUUUUAUAAACUGCAAUGGUUAGUAGAUUUACUUGUCUUUCCCUGACCUCCUUCACGCUCCUGCCUCCUCCAUCUCAAAACUCCCAUCCCCAGCUUCCACAAUUCUCAGCUUCCAACGGACUCAUCCUCCCCUCUCCUCCCAGCCAAGGAGGGAUGCCUGGGAAGUAGACAGUGUCCUUCUUGGGUCAGAACCUAUGCUCUGGUUCUAGUUCAGGACACCUCCAGUCUCACCUCCAAGCUGGCAAAACGAAUGUGCCUGAGACAGGUUUGACCAGGCAACUGAAAAGAUAUCCCUAAGAGAAGACAAAGCAAAGGUAUGAAAGGAACACACGUCCCUGACUGACUAGGAGGAACAGAGCUGCCUGCUGUCUGGAACCGCUUCCUCCCAGACUAAGGUUUCCCAGAGGAAGAGAGAGAAUUUGGACAAAUGAAUGAGGAACAACGCUCUCCUGAGGGUUUUCUUUAAGGGGCGAGGAUCACUGCCGCUAGCUCCUUUGAAAGCAAAGUUAAGAGGCAGCGCAGGAAGGCACAGCAGGAAGGCUCAUGGUUAGACUACAGAGAAGGAAGCAGCCACUGCUGGGGACCUACCCUGUGCUGGUCACUGACAAGCUGUCUCAUUAAACCUUCCCGGACCCUCAACCCCUCCUAGUAUCUUAUCCUCAUUUUACAGAUGAGAAGACUGCGGCCAAGAGAGGUAAAGUUCUGGGGAGCAGGAUGGGAGUUUCACUUUGUCUCAGUUGCUCUGGCAAAGAGAAGCCUCACCUUGUGAUCAAGAG